UACGGGGGGGGGCAAGCGUUGUUCGGAAUUACUGGGCGUAAAGCGUGCGCAGGCGGUUAUGUAAGACAGAUGUGAAAUGCCCGGGCUUAACCUGGGAACUGCAUUUGUGACUGCAUGGCUAGAGUGUGUCAGAGGGGGGUAGAAUUCCACGUGUAGCAGUGAAAUGCGUAGAGAUGCGGAGGAACACCGAUGGCGAAGGCAGCCCCCUGGGCUGACACUGACGCUCAGGCACGAAAGCGUGGGGAGCAAACAGG
rnacentral:rRNA from 1 species